UGACAGACACGAGUGGCUCAGCGGCUUCCACUCUGCAGGUACAGAUGGCAGCUUCCUUUACCGCAUUUUAAAUAAAAGAAAUACUGGCCAACUGUUAACGCAGUGCACACUGCAAUAUUUCAUUUCUGUUCAGCUUUUAGCUGAAGGGUAAGGGCAAUGUUUUUAGUAGCACUAAAUAUUGUGUGAGGAAAGUAAAAGUUAUGUCAAAGAAAUUAUUCAUCAAGAAUAAAGAAAAUACAUUUUGUGUUUUCAAACAAUGAAAAACGUAACGUAGCGUUCUAAAUUCAACAAUGAAUGCAUGUAUUUAACUUAUCAUACCAGAUACUCACUAAAUCACUGUAAAAAAACAUAUAUAUCAAACAAUAGAAUUAAAAAUGAGACAUUACAUUUAUGAUUCAGAUAGAGAGCAGAAAUCACCGGUCAAAAAAGAAAUAUAACUGUUAAUAGAAUCCAACCCGAAGAAAAUCUUGCUGCUCUUUGUAUUUAAAGUUUUGUGGUUGCUUUACAGAGCAGCACCUGCUCAAAAGGCUUUUCAUUCAAAACAGUUUCAGAGACAUUCUUAUGUGACUUCAGUUUGUCUGUAUAUCAGUGGAACAGUUGUGUCUUGAUUGUUUUAUUCACUGCAAAUGAAAACACAAUCAAGUACAUAUCUGAAAUGAAAAUGCUGAACUCACUGUUUAAAGUAAACCUUUUUUCCCCAGCUCCAGUGCCAUUUGAUUAUUUAAUGUGAUGUAUCUAAACACCUACCCACCCAUCUAUCAAAUUACCGACCUAUCUAUCUAUCUAUCUAAUAUCUAUGAUGGUAUGCUGCUGGAAGAACAGACAAUGAUACAGCUAAAUAUAAAACUGUGUUUUAAACUUCAUAGAACGGAUUGUAACAAGCUGCAGUAUCUGUUAUUAAGGGUCCCAGCAUGCUUAGUCUGUGGUGUUUCUCAAAGUUAACAUUUUAUUCAUGGUGCCUCUACAUCCGCUCUCUGAUCAUAGGACACAUACAGAAAUAACCCUUCCUUGUGCUUGCAAUAACCUGACCAUUAAAUUGCUUGUUUCUUUUCUCCCCACUCUUAAGUACCCUAAAUGAGGAAACUCCACACCGCAGUUGGAGGCAUCCUCCAGCAGCAGCAGCAGCUCCACAUAAGGCCCCACCUCCAGCUGUGUCCUGGUUUGAAUCCGAUAGGAAAGCUUCCCAGAGGAAAGGAGAGACCCCUGCCCAUAAACGCCCCUACGUCCAUCCUGCUCAGUCUGAACCUUGCUUCUCACAAUGUGUAGUUGUAACGCUAUAACACCAAAUGGACUAUGGUGGCUAAUUAAGGACCAAGCCCUCUCCCUUCUCUUUCUUUAAGCACAUGAAACUCCAAUCAACAUUGCCUCUCUGUCGAUUCAAUAUGCACGAUAAGACUGCAUGGCUUCAACCACACUCCAAGACCAUCAUACAUAAAAAAAUCCAGAGGAGAUACUUGCAAAGAAGCAGACUGUAUGAAAAAUUGAACAUGUGGAUAUUUAAAGAAGCCUCAACAAGGAUUAUUAGAGUGGACACGGAAACGUUGAAAUGCCUUUCAGAGAUCGUUUCUUCUUUAAAAAUGAAACACGUUGAUUACAUUAUUAACCUCUGUGCUUUGUCUUGCCCCUUAACAGCAUUGAUGUAUAAUAAACAAGUUAAUUAAGAAGUGAAACAGCACAAUUAACUAAAUGUCAGAAAAGCACCAACCUACGAUUUUAAAGUAUGAAACAAAAGGAAAUCUGUAUUUUAUAGAUGUGGUAGCUUUUAGCAGUUUUAUGUUUUGUACUUGAUGUUGUGCUUUAUAUGUGAGCUAGGCCUAAAUAUGAGAGUGAUGAGAGAUUGAGUUAAGUUAGCCAGUGCAUCAAACAGAUAAAAGUGAGGCCUUCAGCCAUUAUGUAUCUGCCUUUCAGUUGUUUUUGCAUGGGAUAAUCAAGUACUUUAAUAGCUUUAGAUAUUUCUAUGAUAUUGAGAAAUCCAUUUUCUGUAGUUAGGCCUCACUGUUUAGUAUUUUGCAAAACAAUGAUGAGAACACAGUAAAGACGUGCAGCAUUAUACUUUUCUAUGGAUGAAGACAGUUAAGUGUACUCUCAUCUUCAAUGUGAAUAGUGUGCUUGAAUGUUAUGUUCACUUGGACAUUACUGGAGAAUAAGAGUCUUUAACUAAACACAAGUGAAUGCAGUGAGUGUUUGAGAAUGGACUGAUUAAUAUCUACUUAUGACGACUGUAUAUACAUCACAAACAUGACUAUGUACUUUCACUUUUUUAUUUUCAAAGCCAAACUCUGGAUGUUCCUUAAUUUCAAUGUCUUCUGAGAUUGUGUAACAAGAUGAAAACUGAAUUAAUGACUUAGUGUUUACUUUAUAAUACUGAAUACUGGUUUCAACCAAUGAAAGCUGUGCUCAUGUGUAUUACUGACUACUGUGUGUAUCUGCAUAUGCAACACAUAAAUAGGGAUACAGAUACGACCGACAUACAGUAUAGCAUAUCUGUAUCUAUUAAUAUGCCUUUAUUUGUCAAUAUUAAUGCUGAACAGAAAAACAGUGCCAUCAGAUUUAUGGGCCAACUAGUAUGUGAAACAUUUCAAGAAUCAGACAUCAUGAAGUCAAACUCGUUAGCACAGCUCACAUUGCAUUACUUGUAUUCCGUUGUAAUCUACAGUCAAACAUACAAAAACUGCUUUUGUACAGUGGUACUUUUAUGGUGCAAUAUGUAGUAAGGUGUAAUAUGUGAGCUUAUUGUAUGCUAUGGUCUGUAUGAUCUAUCAACUACAAAGACAAAACAGAACAUUAAAGUUAAUGGUGAACUUGUGAA